GGCACAGAGUCUGAGGGGAGGGUUUGGCUGUUUGAAUUAAGAAGGGGUGAGGCAGAUGAGUCUGGGGGAGUCUUCAGGGGCCAUCUGGGGAAAGGCUGUGAGUACCACCUCACAAGGCUACCAGAUGUGUACACAAGGUGACAUGGUAGGAUUUGAACUCCCAGCCCUCAGAUUUCAGAAUAUGCUGUCUUUCUCUACCACCAAGAUGGCUUCUUUCUUCAGGAGCAGACAACUUAACCAGCAGAGGUGGGGUACAGGACAAAGUUGCUCCAGACAAGGUGAAGGCCUAAGCAAGCUUCCCUACUCUUCUGUCUCCUUAUCCCAACCUUUUGGGAGUCUUGAGGCCUAUGAUGGGUCUUCUUAGCAUAAUAGUUGAGCUGACAGUAAUGUUGUAUAGUUAUCCAUUUCCACAGCUGCCUUGCCCACUGGGGGUACCUCUGAGGAAGGCCUGUGCUUAGAUCAUCCCUGUGUCCUCUCUUCAUACACAAGAUACUCAGUAAAUGUUUACCUUUUGU
rnacentral:lncRNA from 1 species